AAAUAAGAAGCAUAGAGCAAUUAGUUUCGGCCUAAUCCAUGGUAAUCUCAACUAUUACCCUUAUUUA
rnacentral:tRNA from 1 species